UCUACCUGCAGUCGACGGGACUGUGGGGGCAACUCUGCAGUUUAGUGGCGGACGGGUGAGUAACACGUGGGUAACCUGCCCGGAAGUGGGGAAUACCUCGGGGAAACUCGAGCUAAUACCGCAUGACAUCUUUGGGACGAAAGUUCUGACGAUCAAAGCGGGGUCGCAAGAUCUCGCGCUACCGGAUGGGCCCGCGCCCGAUUAGCUAGUUGGUGAGGUAACGGCUCACCAAGGCUUCGAUCGGUAACCGGCCUGAGAGGGCGAUCGGUCACACCGGAACUGAGACACGGUCCGGACUCCUACGGGAGGCAGCAGUGGGGAAUCUUGCGCAAUGGGCGAAAGCCUGACGCAGCAACGCCGCGUGGAGGAUGAAGGCCCUUGGGUUGUAAACUCCUGUCGGCUGGGAAGAAGUCGUGCGGUGCUCAUACCAUCGCGCGUUGACUGUACCAGCAAAGGAAGCCCCGGCUAACUCUGUGCCAGCAGCCGCGGUAAUACAGAGGGGGCCAGCGUUAUUCGGAAUUAUUGGGCGUAAAGGGCGCGUAGGCGGCCAUGCGUGUCUCCCGUGAAAUCCCUCGGCUUAACUGAGGACGUGCGGGAGAAACUGCAAGG
rnacentral:rRNA from 1 species